rnacentral:ncRNA from 1 species
ACCUGGGCUGGGACAUCAGCUCGCCGGACGAGGGAGCCGUACCCGGACCGCGACAAGACGGCCAGU